GGCGGAGAGCGGAUCUAGGGUUUUGUUUUUGAAAAUACAGGGCAGCCUCCUGCUUCUUUUUUCAUUCAUUUCCCUUCUAUUCUAAGUUAUUUUCGUAGGAAGAAAUGAAUAAUAAGAUGCGAUGACGAUUGCAUAGUAGAGAAAAUCGUUGAUUGUGUGAUGGUUUUUCAGAAUCAUCAGCAAGAUGAGUCUCUUGUUUUGGUUCGUAUUCACUGAGCAUCUUUUCCCUGUAAAGUUUUUCUUUAAUUUAAAAGUUUUAGAGAAGAAAACGAAGGGACCUAUGGAAGGAGUGCGAUAAAAGAAAAUGCACUCUUCUCCAAGUUUACCUUCGGAGAUUGGCGUCGAUGGCUGAUCAUAUGAACCAUGAUCUAUUUUGGAAUGAUUUUUGAGUUCGCAGAUCUGAUUUUCGUACAUAUUUAUUUGUUUAUCAUAUAACGUAAGACUUAAGAUUUAGGUUUAAAGCGAAGGUCCCAGCAGGGAGGCAGGACUCUGAAUUGAGGCCUCUCUAACAACAAUAGAAAUUACCUUCGCAGAUUAAUCUGCCGAAUCGUAGGAUGCCCUGAAUUUUCCAUUUUUGUGGCGUCCGGAACCCUCGGCUAUAUCUUUCCAUGAUCCUCUAAAAUUUGGUCCUAAAUUGUAAUCCUAUAACAACGAAAAAGUUGUAUUCAAUAUCCAUAUUCCUUAUUGUUAUUAUUUUCACUUUUAAAUUUUAGUCCAAUAAUCGAGAUUUUACAAAAAAAUUAAAAAUUAAAGUAUAUAUAAUAAAUUAUUUAUUGAAUACUAAAAGUUUAAGAUUUUAUUUUAAAUUUAAUUAUUACUGAAAUAUGUUUCCAGAUAAACAAUGUAAAGACAACAAGAACUAACGCAAGUGGAGCCACUGCAGUGCAGAAUUAACGGCACAGCCCCUUAAGUGCAGAGAACGCGUACACUAAAUGUU
rnacentral:lncRNA from 1 species